rnacentral:rRNA from 1 species
CCUACGGGAGGCAGCAGUGAGGAAUAUUGGUCAAUGGACGCAAGUCUGAACCAGCCAUGCCGCGUGCAGGAAGACGGCUCUAUGAGUUGUAAACUGCUUUUGUACGAGGGUAAAUCCCGAUACGUGUAUCUGGUUGAAAGUAUCGUACGAAUAAGGAUCGGCUAACUCCGUGCCAGCAGCCGCGGUAAUACGGAGGAUUCAAGCGUUAUCAGGAUUUAUUGGGUUUAAAGGGUGCGUAGGCGGUUCGAUAAGUUAGAGGUGAAAUCCCGGGGCUCAACUCCGGCACUGCCUCUGAUACUGUCGGGCUAGAGUUUAGUUGCGGUAGGCGGAAUGUAUGGUGUAACGGUGAAAUGCAUAGAGAUCAUACAGAACACCGAUUGCGAAGGCAGCUUACCAAACUACGACUGACGUUGAGGCACGAAAGCGUGGGGAGCAAACAGGAUUAGAUACCCGGGUAGUC